rnacentral:rRNA from 1 species
AGCAAACAGGAUUAGAUACCCUGGUAGUCCACGCCCUAAACGAUGUCAACUAGGUGUUGGGGAAGCAAUUUCCUAGUACCGCAGCUAACGCGUGAAGUUGACCGCCUGGGGAGUACGGUCGCAAGAUUAAAACUCAAAGGAAUUGACGGGGACCCGCACAAGCGGUGGAUGAUGUGGAUUAAUUCGAUGCAACGCGAAAAACCUUACCUACCCUUGACAUGUACGGAACCCUGCAGAGAUGCAGGGGUGCUUGAAAGAGAGCCGUAACACAGGUGCUGCAUGGCUGUCGUCAGCUCGUGUCGUGAGAUGUUGGGUUAAGUCCCGCAACGAGCGCAACCCUUGUCCCUAGUUGCUACGCAAGGGCACUCUAGGGAGACUGCCGGUGACAAACCGGAGGAAGGUGGGGAUGACGUCAAGUCCUCAUGGCCCUUAUGGGUAGGGCUUCACACGUCAUACAAUGGCCGGUACAGAGGGUUGCCAAAGCGCGAGCUGGAGCCAAUCCCAGAAAGCCGGUCGUAGUCCGGAUUGCAGUCUGCAACUCGACUGCAUGAAGUCGGAAUCGCUAGUAAUCGCGGAUCAGCAUGUCGCGGUGAAUACGUUCCCGGGUCUUGUACACACCGCCCGUCACACCAUGGGAGCGGGAUGUACCAGAAGUAGGUAGGCUAACCGCAAGGGGGCCGCUU